GCGAGUGUCAUAUAGAUGAUGAAGCUUGAGCGUGAGCACAAGUGGAGUCUACAUGAGCAAGAAUGCCGGCGUAAGUAACGUAUGAAAGUGAAAAUCUUUCUAGCCGAAUGACCAAGGUUUCCAGGGCAAGGGUCGUCCACCCUGGGUUAGUCGAACCUAAGAUGAGGCCGAGAGGCGUAGUCGAUGGACAGCGAGUUAAUAUUCUUGCACUCAUCUGGUUGGUGAAGGGAUGACAGAAGAGGUUAAUAUGAGCGGGUUAAUGGAUUCCCGUUUAAAUUCCAAGUAGGAGAGAUAGGAAAACCCGUCUCUCAAUAACUACAAGGGAUGAAUAGGAGUGAAAGAGCAAAACUCAAGUAACGUAGUCAUAUACAUCACAUUCUCAAGAAAAGUCUCUAGCAUAACAACCAGGUAGCCGUACCGAGAACGAACACACGUGGUCAAGGAGAAAAUCCUAAGGCUAUCGAGAUAACUACAGUUAAGGAACUCUGCAAAAUCACCCCGUAACUUAGGGAGAAGGGGUGCCUGCUAAGUGCAGGCCACAGUAAAGAAUGAGGGGGGACUGUUUAACAAAAACAUAGCUAUAUGCAAAAACGAAAGUUAAAGUAUAUGUGGCGACACCU
rnacentral:rRNA from 1 species